rnacentral:rRNA from 1 species
GUGCCUACGGGGGGCAGCAGUGGGGAAUAUUGCACAAUGGGGGGAACCCUGAUGCAGCGACGCCGCGUGAGUGAAGAAGUAUCUCGGUACGUAAAGCUCUAUCAGCAGGGAAGAAAAUGACGGUACCUGACUAAGAAGCCCCGGCUAACUACGUGCCAGCAGCCGCGGUAAUACGUAGGGGGCAAGCGUUAUCCGGAUUCAUUGGGCGUAAAGCGCGCGCAGGCGGGCCGCUAAG